UACGUAGGGUGCAAGCGUUGUCCGGAAUUAUUGGGCGUAAAGGGCUCGUAGGCGGUUUGUCACGUCGGGAGUGAAAACUCAGGGCUUAACCCUGAGCCUGCUUCCGAUACGGGCAGACUGGAGUACUGCAGGGGAGACUGGAAUUCCUGGUGUAGCGGUGGAAUGCGCAGAUAUCAGGAGGAACACCGGUGGCGAAGGCGGGUCUCUGGGCAGUAACUGACGCUGAGGAGCGAAAGCGUGGGGAGCGAACAGG
rnacentral:rRNA from 1 species